GCCGGUGAGAGCGUCGCACACUCGCCUUCGAGAAAGACAUUCAUCGCUCGUAUGCGAGAAUGCUGAACGGGAGUACUACCUGCUAUGGCGGCCCGCCAAUUGGAUUUCCGUACAGCAGCACAUGCCGUACGGAAUACUAUUGUGUUUAUACUCAAAUUGGAAUACGAAUAAUAUUCAGUUACUGGAUGUACAAACUCCAUCUUAUAAGCUAUAAAUGAAUCAGACAGUGCUAAUAUGGAUAGAAAGGAUUAUAAUGAGGAAAAAAAUUAUAUUUCUAACUAUAUAAGUAAAAUAUAAAAUCAUGGCUGACAUUUCCAAUUACAGCAUGAAAAUCGAAUGAGCAAAUUUGGUCUUUGGCCUGCCAUCUUAAAUUGUGACAUAGCCUGUAGGGUCUAUGAAGAAUAUAAGUUGAAUACUUAAAAGAUCUAACAAUGGAAGAUAUAAAACAACAAAAGAUUAAACAAUAUAUGUAAUAACAUUGGAAGAUAUAAAUAUUUUGGCAGUUUUGCUUAGAAGGUUUGCCCUGAUUUAGGAUAUUUUCUGAAAAGAUAAACCUUGAAUUGCAGAAUGUUAUUUUACUCUACAGAAACAAAUAAUGUGUUAUGCAUACCUGUAAUUGCACAUUAUAUGGACUGCAUAUUAAAAAAUAUACCAGCACACACAUUCAUCUUGACAAAAGUGCAACUGUAUUCUGUUGUUAAGAUGCAAUUGUUUAUUGAAUUCUUGUUCUUUGGUUCGCUUGCAGGUAAGUCAGAUCGUUAUGUUUUA